UACAGAGGGUGCAAGCGUUGUUCGGAAUUACUGGGCGUAAAGCGCACGUAGGCGGAUAUUUAAGUCAGGGGUGAAAUCCCAGAGCUCAACUCUGGAACUGCCUUUGAUACUGGGUAUCUUGAGUAUGGAAGAGGUAAGUGGAAUUGCGAGUGUAGAGGUGAAAUUCGUAGAUAUUCGCAGGAACACCAGUGGCGAAGGCGGCUUACUGGUCCAUAACUGACGCUGAGGUGCGAAAGCGUGGGGAGCAAACAGG
rnacentral:rRNA from 1 species